rnacentral:rRNA from 1 species
UACGAAGGGGGCUAGCGUUGCUCGGAUUGACUGGGCGUAAAGGGCGCGUAGGCGGCGGACACAGUCAGACGUGAAAUUCCUGGGCUCAACCUGGGGGCUGCGUUUGAUACAUGUCUGCUUGAGUUCGGAAGAGGGUCGUGGAAUUCCCAGUGUAGAGGUGAAAUUCGUAGAUAUUGGGAAGAACACCGGGUGGCGAAGGCGGCGACCUGGUCCGAUACUGACGCUGAGGCGCGAAAGCGUGGGGAGCAAACAGG